rnacentral:rRNA from 1 species
UGGGGAAUUUUACGCAAUGGGGGAAACCCUGACGUAGCGACACCGCGUGAGCGAAGAAGCCCUUUGGGGUGUAAAGCUCUGUCAACAGGAACGAAACAAAUGACGGUACCUGUGGAGGAAGCAUCGGCUAACUACGUGCCAGCAGCCGCGGUAAGACGUAGGAUGCAAGCGUUGUCCGGAUUUAUUGGGCGUAAAGAGUUCGUAGGCGGUUUGUUAAGUCUGAUGUUAAAGACCGGGGCUCAACCUCGGAAAUGCAUUGGAUACUGGCAGACUGGAGUGCAGUAGAGGCUAGUGGAAUUCCCAGUGUAGCGGUGAAAUGCGUAGAUAUUGGGAAGAACACCGGUGGCGUAGGCGACUAGCUGGGCUGUAACUGACGCUGAGGAACGAAAGCCAGGGGAGCAAAUGGGAUUAGAUACCCCAGUAGUCCUGGCCGUAAACGAUGGAUACUAGGCGUAGUGGGUAUCGACCCCUGCUGUGCCGCAGCUAACGCGAUAAGUAUCCCGCCUGAGUAGUACGGCCGCAAGGUUGAAACUUAAAGGAAUUGACGGGGUCAUAGCUGUUUCCU